rnacentral:tRNA from 1 species
GAGGGUAUAGCUCAAGUGGUAGAGGGCGUGCUCAGCACACGCAAGAUCCUGGGUUCAAUCCCCAGUACUUCCU